GAAAAGCAAUGCGAGAGUUAGACAAACAAGUUGGAGGAAAUUUUCCAGCUACAGCUACAGCUGCUGCCUCGGCCAGCGUCGCAGUCGCUGUUCGAGAUAAAGGAUAUGCCCGGAUCUAAAAGAUACAGUUUUUCCUCUUGUUUCUUUUUCCGCUGCCGCUGCUGCUGCGGCUGCUGCUACAUUCGCUGCUUGGCAUUUUCCGCACAGCAACAACAAUCGUUGAGACAGGACCUCCAGCUUAGCUAAAAUGUAACAUAACACCAAAUAAGAAGCGAACAGAACACCGAAAAGUGAGCGCCAAAUAAUGCAAAUAAAUGAAUAAGCCCAAAUCAUUAACAAAUUAAAACGAGACACGCACGGAAGGGCAGGAAAAUAUAAAUAUCGAAAGGAGUCAAGUCGAGUGUUUUCGAGGAGCUGUUUGCUGGCAUGCUUUGAGGUUAAUACCACCCACCACUCUCCACCCAGCCACCCACUACCACCCAUCAACCAUCAGCCAUCACCAACUCAUUCCUCCUUCUACCCUCAUCUCCGUUUUGGCCAAUUUCUCCGUCUGCUUUCGCCGCUUUCUUCGUCACCGCCGCCCCUGCCGCCGCCGCUGCUGCCGUCACCAUCAAAAGGCAUCGAAGCAAUGGUAGCCUCAUUAGCGACUUAGCAGAAUGGCGCAAAGGAAACCGUAACCGAAAACCAGCAAAACCGAAAAAAAAGGAUACGCCGAAAGGGAUUAAAAGCAGCAGCCGCUGAAAAGGUUGAGCACCCAUAAAAAAACAGCACAAAGAAAUUGUAUACUCCCAGCGAAUUUCGGGGCAUAAUGAGUACGCGGUCGCGUCCCUAAGAAGCGAGCACCUCAAAUGCAAAUUGAUAUUAAGCCGCCAAUCAUAAUCAGCAGCGAUAUUAAUUAAACACCGCGACCAGUCAACAAUAAUCAAGCAACCGCCAUGGCCUCACCACCGGAGAGUCCCAUCGAGGAGGUGGUCUACGAGUUGGAACACACACGAGUGCCUAAGCCCAUUCCCGUUGCCCUCGAGGAUCUGUGCCGGCAGACCAAGUUCACCAAGCAGGAAAUCCGCGUCAUGUACAGAGGAUUUAAGACGGAAUGCCCCGAGGGCGUGGUACACGAGGAUUGUUUUAAGGAUAUCUACGCCAAAUUCUUUCCACAUGGCAAUUCGAGUUUAUACGCUCAUUAUGUGUUCAAAGCGUUCGAUGUUAAUUGCAAUGGCGCCAUUAGUUUUCGGGAUUUACUGGUCACCUUGUCGACCUUGCUGAGAGGUUCGGUAUAUGAGCGUCUGCGUUGGACCUUCAAGUUGUACGACUUGAACGGCGACGGAAGGAUCAGUCGCGGCGAACUGAGUGAAAUUAUUUUGGCCAUUCACGAGCUUAUGGGUCGGAGACCACACCAACCUGAGGACGAUCGCAAGGCGAGGGAUCAGUGAGUACAAGUCUCGGCCUUGAUACUCGGCUCAUUCGGCAUUGAACAAUCGAUGUGCUAGGCCUUAAUCAACUUGUUCAAGGUACAAAAGCAAAUCUCUGCUUAUCCACAAUGAGCAUUAUGUUCUAGGCCAUUCUGUUGAAAUGUCUAUCUGCAUAUGCAUCGCACUUCCUCUGGCGCAGAUUUGUAUGCCUCAUUCUUUAUGCAAAAGCCACACUUCAUGAAACGUGCUGCAUCCGCUGACGUUAGUCGGGCAGUCGGGCGGUCGGGCGCACAGUGCGUAUGAGUAAUUAUGAUUGGGAGCACACACAGAAAUAUGCGCAUACAUGCGGAAUGCAUAAGUCGGGAAUCGAAAUUGCAUCGACAGUUGGUGAGAGGCGAGCGAAGGGAAAGCGGAUGCUUUCGUGUGCGGAAACAGCAGCGGAUAUUUUACUUAAUGAUGAAGGUUUCACUUUUUCCCGCGGAUAAUACUUACGCGAAAAUGCCAAUGAAAAGUCGCUGAAAUUGAAAUGAGCGAUUAAAUGGAAAAUGGCUUUGUGCCAGUCAACGAAAUUUAUAAGUAAUAAACGGAAACGAGAGUAAUUUAAUUGAUAAGUCUUUACCAAAUUGAUGUGGAUCGUGUGUUCCGCAAACUGGACUUGAACCAGGAUGGCAUUAUAACGAUAGAGGAGUUUUUGGAGGCCUGUUUGAAGGACGACUUGGUAACUCGAUCGCUACAAAUGUUCGAC